rnacentral:rRNA from 1 species
AUUGAACGCUGGCGGCAUGCUUUACACAUGCAAGUCGAACGGUAACAGGGUGCUUGCACCGCUGACGAGUGGCGAACGGGUGAGUAAUGCGUCGGAACGUGCCGAGUAGUGGGGGAUAACGCAGCGAAAGUUGUGCUAAUACCGCAUACGUACUGAGGUAGAAAGUGGGGGACCUUCGGGCCUCACGCUAUUCGAGCGGCCGACGUCUGAUUAGCUAGUAGGUGAGGUAAAGGCUCACCUAGGCGACGAUCAGUAGCGGGUCUGAGAGGAUGAUCCGCCACACUGGGAAUGAGACACGGCCCAGACUCCUACGGGAGGCAGCAGUGGGGAAUUUUGGACAAUGGGCGAAAGCCUGAUUCAGCCAUGCCGCGUGUCUGAAGAAGGCCUUCGGGUUGUAAAGGACUUUUGUCAGGGAAGAAAAGACUCCUACUAAUACUGGGGGUUCAUGACGGUACCUGAAGAAUAAGCACCGGCUAACUACGUGCCAGCCGCCGCCGUAACAC